UCCCUACGGGGGGCUGCAGGCGCGAAAACUCUACAAUGCAGGCAACUGCGAUAGGGGGACAUCGAGUGGCAUCCACCUUGGGUGCCUGUCCAAUCGUCUAAAAAACGAUUGUUAGCAAGGGCCGGGUAAGACCGGUGCCAGCCGCCGCGGUAAUACCGGCGGCUCGAGUGGUGGCCGAUAUUAUUGAGUCUAAAGGGUCCGUAGCCGGCUUUGCAAGUCCCCUGGGAAAUCCAGCGGCUUAACCGUUGGUCGUCCAUGGGAUACUACAUUGCUUGGGACUGGGAGAGGUAGGAGGUACUCGGGGGGUAGGGGUGAAAUCCUGUAAUCCUCCGGGGACCACCGGUGGCGAAGGCGUCCUACCAGAACAGGUCCGACGGUGAGGGACGAAAGCUAGGGGCACGAACCGGAUUAGAUACCCGGGUAGUCCAA
rnacentral:rRNA from 1 species